rnacentral:rRNA from 1 species
UUGUGAAGGUACUUUCCGAGUUCCCUGGAACGGGACGCCUUACAGGGUGAGAGCCCCGUACGGUUGGAUGCCUGACCUCUGUAAAGCUCCUUCGACGAGUCGAGUAGUUUGGGAAUGCUGCUCUAAAUGGGAGGUAAAUUUCUUCUAAAGCUAAAUAUUGGCCAGAGACCGAUAGCGCACAAGUAGAGUGAUCGAAAGAUGAAAAGCACUUUGAAAAGAGGGUUAAAUAGUACGUGAAAUUGUUGAAAGGGAAGCGUUUGCGACCAGACCUUUUCCUGGCGGAUCAUCCGGUGUUCUCACCGGUGCACUUCGCCAGGUCUAGGCCAGCAUCGGUUUCUGUAGGGGGAUAAAAGCUCUGGGAACGUAGCUCUUUCGGGAGUGUUAUAGCCCUCUGUAUAAUACCCUUACGGGGACCGAGGACCGCGCUUCGGCAAGGAUGCUGGCAUAAUGGUCGUCAACGACCCGUCUUGAAACACGGACCAAGGAGUCGAACAUUUGUGCGAGUGUUUGGGUGUUAAACCCUCACGCGUAAUGAAAGUGAACGGAGGUGAGAGCCCGUACGGGUGCAUCAUCGACCGAUCCUGAUGUCUUCGGAUGGAUUUGAGUAAGAGCAUAACUGUUCGGACCCGAAAGAUGGUGAACUAUGCGUGGAUAGGGUGAAGCCAGAGGAAACUCUGGUGGAGGCUCGCAGCGGUUCUGACGUGCAAAUCGAUCGUCAAAUCUGCGCAUGGGGGCGAAAGACUUAUCGA